ACCCGGUGCCUCCAGCACUGGUCCCGCCUUGGAGUACACUCUAAACCUAUUCUGGUUUAAUUUUUGGUUCAUGUUUAUUAGUGAGAAUAACAUGAACACAUGCACAUAUUUUGUCCACACACUAUCACUCUUUUAUGCCAUAAAAUUGCUAGUAAUAUUUGGAAUUAAAAUAUACCGAAAAUUGCCUAGUUCUCUAACAAGAACCUCAGGCAUACUUGCUCAAGUUGGAGUACGAUCUUUGGAUGGACAUGUGGCUAUACAGCCCCAGAACUUUCGUCUACAAUGAUGUUUACAGAGAAGUGUGAUGUCUAUAGUUUUGGUGUGGUCACCAUGGAAGUGGUCAUGGGUAAGCACCCAAGAGAUCUUCUACUUUCAUUCUUCUGCAGAACAGAGCAGCGUACAAAGCUCAAGGACAUAUUGGACCAGCGCAUCCCAGAACCAACGAGCGCAGAGGAGAAAGACAUAAUUCUGCUCCUUCUGGUGGCCUUUGCUUGCUUGCAAGUCUGCCCAAAAUCCCGGCCAACAAUGCAGCAGGUAUAUCAAGCACUCACAAACAGAAGCUGCCCAACAGCCAUCCAAAAGCCCCUUCACCAAGUCAAAUUACAAGAUUUGCAUGAUUUUUGCAGCACUAUCAAGAAUAUAUGAUGGUUUGUACAGUCUCAAUAUUUACAUAUGUGGCAAAUGUCGUGUGUAUCUUGGAACAAUUUUCCAUAUACCAAUUAAUGUAUUCAAUAAUGGACAUAGAUAUCGGACAGAUGCUAAGUAAAGUUCCUCUUGAGGCAAUAAAUAAUUAAGAAGCAUUCAAAUA